GACGAACGCUGGCGGCGUGCCUAAUACAUGCAAGUCGAACGCAUUUUCUUUCACCGUAGCUUGCUACACCGAAAGAAAAUGAGUGGCGAACGGGUGAGUAACACGUGGGUAACCUGCCCAUCAGCGGGGGAUAACACUUGGAAACAGGUGCUAAUACCGCAUAAUUCCAUUUACCGCAUGGUAAAUGGAUGAAAGGCGCUUUUGCGUCACUGAUGGAUGGACCCGCGGUGCAUUAGCUAGUUGGUGGGGUAACGGCCUACCAAGGCUGCGAUGCAUAGCCGACCUGAGAGGGUGAUCGGCCACACUGGGACUGAGACACGGCCCAGACUCCUACGGGAGGCAGCAGUAGGGAAUCUUCGGCAAUAGACGCAAGUCUGACCGAGCAACGCCGCGUGAGUGAAGAAGGUUUUCGGAUUGUAAAACUCUGUUGUUAGAGAAGAACAAGGAUGAGAGUGGAAAGUUCAUCCCUUGACGGUAUCUAACCAGAAAGCCACGGCUAACUACGUG
rnacentral:rRNA from 1 species